GUCAUAAGGAGAACAUGAGAGCAAAGACCUGAUCUGAUCAUUCAAACACAGCUUAGACCGAUGCAGGGGGGUGUGCAGUUUAAGGUUUCCAGGUGGAGGAGCCACCUGCUGCCAAGAGCUGCUGAUGCCAGGCACAAUGCCCACGUCCACAGGAGAGCAGGUCAUGGCAGGUGGGAAGUUGGGGCGAGGAAGUGGAAGAGGCAGCAUAUGUUACUUUACCAUCUAGAGAUGGAUUUCUUUUCUGGUCCUGAGAGCUUAUUUCUUGGCAUCUUGGCAAACAUGUAAUCAACAAAAGGGCUAAAUGUGAAAAUGUGCCAGUUUAUAAAGGAGUGAAUAAACCAACCAAAGCUGAGGUUUAAUGACUUUAAAAAAAAUUCAUUUCCUCUGAUUAAUGUCAGCGAUUUCUGUGCAGAUGCCACCAAAACACAGGAAGGGCGCGUUACGGAAACAUGGUUCAUCCCGUGAUGCUGGGAACAUGUGGGCUGACACAGAGCAGUGUUCAAGCCUUUGAACAGCUCACCUAUUAUCGCUGUGCUAAUUUUAAUUAAAGCAAUUUUCUCUUGGAACAAAAUGGCAGCUUCACAUU